UACGUAGGCAGCGAGCGUUGUUCGGAGUUACUGGGCGUAAAGAGUGCGUAGGCGGUUUUCUAAGUUUGGUGUGAAAUCUCCCGGCUUAACUGGGAGGGUGCGCCGAAAACUGGAAGGCUUGAGUAUGGGAGAGGUAAGCGGAAUUCCUGGUGUAGCGGUGACAUGCGUAGAUAUCAGGAGGAACACCUGCGGUGUAGACGGCUUACUGGACCAUAACUGACGCUGAGGCACGAAAGCGUGGGUAGCAAACAGG
rnacentral:rRNA from 1 species